GAUAUUCUGAGGCGACAGCUUUGUGACUGGACGAGUGAUUGCUUUUACAUUGAUUUAAUGUGCUCAGUUUUCCGGUAAAAUCUACUCAAAAUGCUAAAUCACAUUGCCAGUCUACAUCAAGCAUUUGGGAUAAUCAUCAUGUCUCUUCAAGAAAUCUUAUUAACACGUCCAAUACAUCUCGACGUCCUUACAAAAGCCUGCUUCGACUCAAGCAUCCCAUGUCAGUGUGCAAUGCCAAAUCUGGUUGCUUCUCACCUAAUUGUUGCUUAAAAAGCCGCCUUUGGAGAGCGUUUCCUAUUAUGUAAUUUACAGUCUUGAAAUAAAUAUCCAUUACAUGUUU